GACGAACGCUGGCGGCGUGCUUAACACAUGCAAGUCGAACGGAGUGGCGAACGGGUGAGUAACACGUGGGUGACCUGCCCUGCACUUCGGGAUAAGCCUGGGAAACUGGGUCUAAUACCGGAUAGUGUGGGAUGGGCCCGCGGCCAAUCAGCUUGUUGGUGGGGUAAUGUCCUCCCAAAGCGGGGACGGGUAGCCGGCCUGAGAGGGUGGACGGCCCCAUUGGGACAUAGAGACGGCCCAGAGUCCUACGGGAGGCAGCAGAGGGGAAUAUUGCAGAAUGGGCGGAAGCCUGAUGCAGCGACGCGGCGUGGGGGAUGACGGGGUUCGGGUUGUAAACUCCUUUCACCAUCGACGCGGUAGAUGGAGAAGAAGCACCGGCUAACUACGUGCCAGCAGCCGCGGUAAUUC
rnacentral:rRNA from 1 species